rnacentral:tRNA from 1 species
GCAGUCGUGGCCGAGUGGUUAAGGCGAUGGACUCGAAAUCCAUUGGGGUCUCCCCGCACAGGUUCAAAUCCUGUCCACUGCG